rnacentral:snRNA from 1 species
AUCACUUCUUGGCCUUUUGGCCAAGAUCAAAUGUAGUUCUAAUAGGUGUGUGUGUGUGUGUGUGUGUGUGUGUGUAAUCUUUAGGGUUUUCUACAUAUAAGAUCUUGUCAUGUGAGGAAAAAGGCAAUUUACUCCUUCAUUUCCAAUUUAGAUGCCUUUUAUUUC